rnacentral:ncRNA from 5 species
AAGGUUUCCGUAGGUGAACCUGCGGAAGGAUC